rnacentral:rRNA from 1 species
AGAAUCAACGCUGGCGGCGUGCCUAACACAUGCAAGUCGAACGAGAAAGUGGAGCAAUCCAUGAGUAAAGUGGCGACCGGGUGAGUAACACGUGACUAACCUACCUUCAAGUGGGGGAUAACCUCGGGAAACCGGGGCUAAUACCGCAUAACAUCUUUGGAGUGGAAAUUCUGGAGAUCAAAGGAGCAAUUCGCUGGAAGAGGGGGUCGCGGCUGAUUAGCUAGUUGGCGGGGUAAUGGCCCACCAAGGCUUUGAUCGGUAGCCGGCCUGAGAGGGCGCACGGCCACACUGGAACUGAAACACGGUCCAGACUCCUACGGGAGGCAGCAGUGGGGAAUUUUGCGCAAUGGGGGAAACCCUGACGCAGCAACGCCGCGUGGAGGAUGAAGUCCCUUGGGACGUAAACUCCUUUCGACCGGGAAGAUUAUGACGGUACCGGUGGAAGAAGCCCCGGCUAACUUCGCGCCAGCAGCCGC